rfam:Picea glauca, whole genome shotgun sequence.
GCAUGCCUACAACUUAGCGUUAAUUCACUAGAUCCCAUUAGAACUCCGCAGUUAAGCGCACUUGGGCUAGAGUAGUACUGGGAUGGGUGAUCGCCCUAGAUGUCCUAGUAUUUUACAUGCC